UUGGAGGGCAAGUCUGGUGCCAGCAGCCGCGGUAAUUCCAGCUCCAAUAGCGUAUAUUAAAGUUGUUGCAGUUAAAAAGCUCGUAGUUGAAUUUCGGGAUCAAUGUUUCGGUCAUGCCGUUGGUAUGUACUGAUAUUAUUGAUUUCUCACCUUCUAAAGAACCGUAAUGCCAUUAAUUUGGUGUCACGGGGAAUUAGGACUGUUACCUUGAAAAAAUUAGAGUGUUUAAAGCAGGCUCACGCUUGAAUACAUUAGCAUGGAAUAAUGAAAUAGGACAUCCGAUUCUAUUUUGUUGGUUUCUAGGAUCGAUGUAAUGAUUAAUAGGGAUAGUUGGGGCAUUAGUAUUCAAUUGUCAGAGGUGAAAUUCUUGGAUUUAUUGAAGACUAACUACUGCGAAAGCAUUUGCCAAGGAUGUUUUCAUUAAUCAAGAACGAAAGUUAGGGGAUCGAAGACGAUCAGAUACCGUCGUAGUCUUAACCAUAAACUAUGCCGACUAGGGAUCGGAUGAUGUUAAUUUUUUAAUGACUCAUUCGGCGCCUUACGGGAAAC
rnacentral:rRNA from 1 species